AUGGGCAAGAUCGCAAAGGCAUGCGGGUGUCCACUCUACUGGAAGGGCCCCAUGUUCUACACAGCAGGCGGUGAGAGGACGGGCUUCGUCUCUGUUCACUCCUUCGUUGCAACCUGGAGGAAGUUGUUGCACAGUUGCCAUGACGAUGCGUCAAAGUUUAUCUCGCUGCUAGCCAAACCCAGCUGUAACUACCUGGAGCAGGAGGACUUCAUCCCUCUGAUGCA